rnacentral:rRNA from 1 species
CAGCAGCCGCGGUAAUACCGGCGGCCCGAGUGGCGGCCGUGUUUAUUGGGCCUAAAGGGUCCGUAGCCGGCCCCGUAAGUCUCCCGGGAAAUCGGGCGGCUCAACCGUCCGCUUCCGGGAGAUACUGCGGGGCUAGGGACCGGGAGAGGCCGGGGGGACUCCCGGGGUAGGGGUGAAAUCCUAUAAUCCCAGGGGGACCGCCAGUGGCGAAGGCGCCCCGCUGGAACGGGUCCGACGGUGAGGGACGAAGGCCAGGGGAGCAAACCGGAUUAGAUACCCGGGUAGUCCUGGCUGUAAAGGAUGCGGGCUAGGUGUCGGGUGAGCUUCGGGCUCGCCCGGUGCCGUAGGGAAGCCGUUAAGCCCGCCGCCUGGGGAGUACGGCCGCAAGGCUGAAACUUAAAGGAAUUGGCGGG